UGCUCCGUGGUGUAACUGGCAACACGUCUGACUCUGGAUCAGAAAAGUCCAGGUUCGAGCCCUGGCGGAGCAA
rnacentral:tRNA from 1 species